GCGAGCCGUAUGAGGUAGGAAACUCUCAAGUACGGUUCUAAGGGAAGGAAUAACCACCUAUCCGGGGAGGAACAGCCUUGCCAGGGGAUCUGAAUGCAGAGGGUCGCAAGCGCUGAGUAUUGGAAACAGGCUAUAGCACUUACUCCUGGU
rnacentral:ncRNA from 1 species